UUAAUAACAAAUGAUUUAAAACUUAGAUCGAGUCGGCCAGUUUAAUCGGUCCGACCGUCACCCAGUCUAUAAAGCAGUUCAGUUUAGUAUUUUUGAAUCAAAUGAAUCAGAACAUUGCUUUGGACGAUUCGAAUUGACUGUUCAACCAUCAAGCGAUAAGCCACUCCAAUUUUAAUCAAAUUAGCCAGAUUUUUUUUUUAAUAUCAAGUAAUAUUAAA
rnacentral:lncRNA from 1 species